GGCUCCGUAGCGGAUGGUCCGUGUCUGCAGUUCAUACACAAGAUAAGCCACGAUGGGUGUGCAGAAGACGCCUGUUCGAUUCGGGCCGGAGCCA